GACGAACGCUGGCGGCGUGCUUAACACAUGCAAGUCGAACGGAAAGGCCCUGCUUGCAGGGUACUCGAGUGGCGAACGGGUGUGUAACACGUGGGUGAUCUGCCCUGCACUUCGGGAUAAGCCUGGUAAACUGGGUCUAAUACCGGAUAGGAGCCAUUUUUAGUGUGAUGGUUGGAAAGUUUUUUUGGUGUAGUAUGAGCUCGCGGCCUAUCAGCUUGUUUGUGGGGUAAUGGCCUACCAAGGCGGCUUCGGGUAGCUGGCCUGAGAGGGUGGACGGCCACAUUGAGACUGAGAUACGGCCCAGACUCCUACGGGAGGCAGCAGUGGGGAAGAUUGCACAAUGGGCGCAAGCCUGAUGCAGCGACGCCGCGUGGGGGAUGACGGCCUUCGGGUUGUAAACUCCUUUCGCUAGGGACGAAGCUUUUUGUGACGGUACCUAGAUAAGAAGCACCGGCUAACUACGUG
rnacentral:rRNA from 1 species